UACGUAGGGGGCUAGCGUUGUCCGGAAUCAUUGGGCGUAAAGAGCGUGUAGGCGGUCCGGUAAGUCCGCUGUGAAAGUCGGGGGGCUCAACCCUCGAAUGCCGGUGGAUACUGUCGGGCUAGAGUGCGGAAGAGGCGAGUGGAAUUCCUGGUGUAGCGGUGAAAUGCGCAGAUAUCAGGAGGAACACCAUUGUCGAAGGCAGCUCGCUGGGACGUAACUGACGCUGAGACGCGAAAGCGUGGGGAGCGAAACAGGAUUAGAACCUACCCGUAGU
rnacentral:rRNA from 1 species